UUUUCACGUCGUGUGUGUGUUAUUGCACACACAUGAUUGUGUUUGUGAAAUUUCCCUAGGUUGCUGAUUAAGUUGUUAAGUGUAGUGGGUUCAUACACCUCUUCUGGUUAGUUCCGUCUACCAGUAAGUGUGUGAUACUCCCCUCUUCUGUUCUGUCAGUCGAGGUGUGUGGAUACCAGGUUCCGUCUUGGUUGAAACCUAUAACUGCAACUCAUGGCUCGCAACCCUAUUACUGUGGCUA
rfam:BtNv-AlphaCoV/SC2013, complete genome.